UUCUUUUUUCUUUGUGUUGCUUUGAACUGAAAAACAGAGGUCUCGGGGUCGUGAGAAGACAGAGAUAACCCUAAUCUCCAAAUCCUUCGUGUCCGGCGACGCCACCAGAUUCCCACCAAAAUCGGAACCCCGUCGUGAUGGGCGACGCCGCCGACGCCCCCCGCCGGCAACGGCUGGCCUCAAUUCUCCUUGCCCGGAAACCGCGCCUCACCGACAGCAGGAACGAGACCACGGCCACAGCCGUAUCCAUGGAUGGCUUCACCAUGGCGGUCUCCUUCUGGAUGGCCGACCCGCCGCAGCUGUCCAUCUUCUCCAUCUACUGCUGCAGACCCCCUCAUCUGCAAGCCGGGCCGUACUGCAAUUUCAAAGAUUUGCCACGCGUGGUCGGCGUCGGCGCGGAGGGCCGUUUCGUCCUCUUCCGCGCCGUCUUCGACCGCCGCUACACAUCCGAAUAUUUCCUGUACAAGGCCGGCGAGUCGCCGUCGCUCGAGUGGAUUCCUUCUCCCUACGAGUACAAUGAUGGCGACCUCGAUGAUCUGCGCGGGGUCAGGGAGUUCGGCGUCCUGCAGCAGCUCGGCGGCCACUAUCUCGUGGCCGCUCUCUGCCUCGCCCCGUUGUCGGAUGACUAUCACCUUCGGAUCUACUCGUCCGAGAGAACGUCAUGGAGCACCAGGACCCCGCCCAAUCCAUGUCCUGGGGUCGACAGGAUUAUACCCAACAAGGUGAUCACUCUUGGAGAAGAAGGCCUACUAGGGUGGGUUGAUUUGUCACAGGGCCUGCUGAUGUGCGACCUGCGUCAAGAUCAUGUGCGUUUCACUUUCAUCCCGUUGCCGGAGCCGUUGCCUGGGAACAGAUACAAACUAAAAGGUCAAAUUCCCCCUCCCACCGCAAAGAGAAGCAAAAAACUAGAGGGCGAAUCUCACCCAAAUCUCUGCUGGUUUCGGGAUCUCGCAUGGGUUGAUGGCGUGCUCAAGUUUAUUGAGAUGGAGAAUCUUGCUCCUGAAAGCCGGAGCGACAAGGGUGAUGUUAUCUACGAUUCAGACUUGAUCAUGUCGCUCGAGCGCAAAGCCGUGGAUUGGCAUUGCAAGCAGCUGUCCAUUGGGGGUGCCUGGAGGGCUGUCACAUGGACUCGGACAGUUUCGUCCAAUGUUGGCGCCAGACAUGCGCUGCCAAUGUCGCUGACAUCUUGGUUGUCGACGGAUCAGCGCAUUCAUCUUUGUUGCCCGGGCUAAAGGGAGAAAAGUUGACAUUCAGGGACCUCUACUCAGCUUUCCCCAUCCCGAGCCCGGAUGGUGACGAUAUUCUUUAUCUCAAAUCUAUGGUGGAACCCAGUAAUAAGGAUGGAUGUGUGGCCGCUGUUGACUUGGGAAACAAGGCUGUGAAAGCAGUUGGCAAGUAUUAUCUUCCGGAUGAUUUUUAUUACCACUUUCGCCAUGACCCUGAACAUCCUUUCCGUGUCUGUACAUUGUCCCGCCAUCUGGAUAUGACUCCAGGCAUUGAAGUCUCAGCGUGUCGCAAGAUCAUAGGGGAUGCUAGCAGCUCUUCAAAUUAUCCAAGCAACACCUCAUUCCAUGCGGGUGAGCUCAAUUCCUGCGAACCAAGGAGCAAAAUCCAAAGGCAAGUUUCUUAUUCUCUAACCUUUCUUCUGCUAAUGCCUGGGCACCUAUGAUCCAAUUUAGAUCAAUUCGUUCUAUAAUUUGAUAUCUAUUCACCUAUUAGUUUUACCUGAUAUUACCAUAUUGGGGUAUUUUUUCUAGUUGACUUUCUGUUCCUCAGGUCAUUGGAAUGGGCUCAGAAAAACAAGCGUGCACGAAAUGCUGCUGGGACUAUUAUGCAGAAUGAUCAUAUUUCCCAGCUUGACGAUAAGGUGCUGGAGCUAGAGCGGGGGUGGAAACAGAAGAGAGAGCAGAAGCCACAACAGCAGUGCUUCAACAAGUGGGAUGCGCCGUGCUACCCCCCUGGACAUUCAGUGUGGCCCCAUCAAAACAAUCUGUCACCGAGGAAAUACUUCAACAAGCCAGACGGACCAUGUGUCCUUGGGUAUGCAUGUUUGCCCCCUGUACAGCUGGGUCGUCACAACUACCAACCUCUGUGGCGCAGCCACCACCAUCAAAACAGCAGUUGACUUCUAGCAGUGAGUUUGGACCUCAUGAGAUUUCAGGCACCCCAGCCAUGCUUCAACAAUUGCAGUGGAGCCAGCUACCAUGUGUAUUAACAACAAAUUUCUGCCCCUAACUCAUUUGCCUAUGGCGCACACACCUGCUAUGCCAGCUACCAACACCAGUGGCUUCAACUCUUACUUUGGAGCUGCCUAUUGGUGCGUUUUGGCAGCAUUCACCUCCUGUGGUGCAGCGUCAGCCAACACCUAGUGAGAUAAAAAAAAGCACUGAAAAAACCUGUGUUUGCUGACAUGUUCCUCUUUUAGACAGUAGACAUGGAGUGAAUCUGUCAUUAAGAUUACUUCUUCAAGAUAGUCAUUCUUGCAAGUAAUUCUGCGCUUGUUGCAUAUGCAAAACCCUUGUGUGUUUCAAACUGAGAUUUAAAGAGGGUUACAUAGUGUCAAGACUAUGUAAGGUAAUAUCCUCUCAUAGUUUGACAUUGUUUCUUGAAACAUAAAUGUAACCAUUUUGCUGAAAUGUGAGUACGUAAGGAAAGGUGCGAACUUUUCAAAAAAGAGGAGGAAUCCCAUCUAAAGGAGCAAAUGUUGGAGAAAUGUGUGGUAAGGUUGAUGGGGAGCCUGGAGUAGCAUAUUGAUGUGGUGCCCAAUUUUCUUGAUGUAAGUUGUAGCCAAAUGAAGUGUAGAUGCUGAACUAAGGAAAAUAGUCAAUGUCUGAUAUCCUCUUUCAGUUGAUUGUGCUGAAAAUGUGUAAUAAAAAUAUUGUUAAUCCUAGUAACUCAAAACUUGUGCAUUAUUUGUUACCAUAGAAAAGUUUCGGGAGUUGUGGUUUUAGAGAAGAGGUGACAUGUGACACGUAUUAUCACUUCUCUUGCGGAACAUUUUUGUUGUUGACUAACUAGUUGAUUUUGCUGUGCAGUGAUAUUGCUGGCUAGAUUUGACUGGAUCGAUGGCUAUGCUCAGGUCAGGGGCCCCUAUAGUGGUGGCGUCGUCCCGGACUCUGUGUCUGAUGCCGGGCUAGGAGUGAAAGGAGCUGCCUUUCUCUCCUACCGUGGUUGGUAAAUCAUGAUGUGAACGAUGGGUGAGAUGUUUCGGACAUGGAUGCCGGGGCGGCGGCUCCGGAUGGUGGUCCACAUGGUUGGCUUUCCGGCGGGCAUCAUGAUGGCGGCGGUGGCUUCCCUCUUUGCGCCGUUCUUCCUCUUGAGGGCAUUGUCGAGGAGCUUAGGUGUACUAGGGCGUAGUGCGUCGUUGUUCUCAUUCUUCUGUGUAGUAUCUACGUGAUACGGGUAUUCUAGAGUCUGCUUUGUAAGAGGGUUAUCUCACCAACACUCCCACACCACUAAUAGCUUCGUUCCACUAA